GCUUCCCCAUUGCUAAACGAGCCUUCCAUCUGGUUGCUAGGGAGAUGCUUACAGCAGGCUUUUGCUAAGAAGCACUUCUGUACUUUUCUCUCUAGCUCUCCUUGAGUUUCUAUGGAAACUGCCUCAGCUUCCUGUUGUACCCUCCUGGUUCACCACGGCAAUUCUUAGUUUCCUGUCGCUUCUUCCCUGGUUGCUCUAAUGAUGCUGCUGACAAUUUCCUGCCUCUUGGUAGGGGGGUUCUCUUGCAACUGGGUUGCUAUGGUGACUCACAGCUUCCUGUUGCUAUGGAGCUUUUUCUUCCUCGCCAGAGGAGCUUGGUUAAGGUAAUAUGGAAGGGUUUCAUACCUAUUCUCACCCUAGCUUCCCCUCCAGCCUCAGAAACACUUGACUCUUCUGGAGAUGUGUCCCCAGGACCAAGAAACAGUCCCAGCCUGCAGUCCCCCAACCCUGGGAGCAGUACUCCUGCUCUGAGCAGUGGCGGGAUCUUAGGGCUAUCCAGGCAGAGUCAUUCCCGAGCCCUGAGUGACCCCACCACGCCUCUGUGAACUAGGAACCAGAGUGACCCUGUUUGCUUGCCUUUAUGCACUGGGGACAGGGAAAUGUCCCUCUUGCUAUGCAACUGCACACCCCUGGGACACUGCUCUGAUGACAACCCACUAUUCUUCCCAGAA
rnacentral:lncRNA from 1 species